GACGAACGCUGGCGGCGUGCUUAACACAUGCAAGUCGAACGGAAAGGCCCUGCUUUUGUGGGGUGCUCGAGUGGCGAACGGGUGAGUAACACGUGAGUAGCCUGCCCUUGACUUUGGGAUAACUUCAGGAAACUGGGGCUAAUACCGGAUAGGGGCUCCUGCUGCAUGGUGGGGGUUGGAAAGUUUCGGCGGUUGGGGAUGGACUCGCGGCUUAUCAGCUUGUUGGUGGGGUAGUGGCUUACCAAGGCUUUGACGGGUAGCCGGCCUGAGAGGGUGACCGGCCACAUUGGGACUGAGAUACGGCCCAGACUCCUACGGGAGGCAGCAGUGGGGAAUAUUGCACAAUGGGCGGAAGCCUGAUGCAGCAACGCCGCGUGCGGGAUGACGGCCUUCGGGUUGUAAACCGCUUUCGCCUGUGACGAAGCGUGAGUGACGGUAAUGGGUAAAGAAGCACCGGCUAACUACGUGCCAGCAGCCGCGGUGAUACGUAGGGUGCGAGCGUUGUCCGGAUUUAUUGGGCGUAAAGGGCUCGUAGGUGGUUGAUCGCGUCGGAAGUGUAAUCUUGGGGCUUAACCCUGAGCGUGCUUUCGAUACGGGUUGACUUGAGGAAGGUAGGGGAGAAUGGAAUUCCUGGUGGAGCGGUGGAAUGCGCAGAUAUCAGGAGGAACACCAGUGGCGAAGGCGGUUCUCUGGGCCUUUCCUGACGCUGAGGAGCGAAAGCGUGGGGAGCGAACAGGCUUAGAUACCCUGGUAGUCCACGCUGUAAACGGUGGGUACUAGGUGUGGGGUCCAUUCCACGGGUUCCGUGCCGUAGCUAACGCUUUAAGUACCCCGCCUGGGGAGUACGGCCGCAAGGCUAAAACUCAAAGGAAUUGACGGGGCCCCGCACAAGCGGCGGAGCAUGCGGAUUAAUUCGAUGCAACGCGUAGAACCUUACCUGGGUUUGACAUGGAUCGGGAGUGCUCAGAGAUGGGUGUGCCUCUUUUGGGGUCGGUUCACAGGUGGUGCAUGGCUGUCGUCAGCUCGUGUCGUGAGAUGUUGGGUUAAGUCCCGCAACGAGCGCAACCCUUGUUCACUGUUGCCAGCACGUUAUGGUGGGGACUCAGUGGAGACCGCCGGGGUCAACUCGGAGGAAGGUGGGGAUGACGUCAAGUCAUCAUGCCCCUUAUGUCCAGGGCUUCACGCAUGCUACAAUGGCUGGUACAGAGAGUGGCGAGCCUGUGAGGGUGAGCGAAUCUCGGAAAGCCGGUCUCAGUUCGGAUUGGGGUCUGCAACUCGACCUCAUGAAGUCGGAGUCGCUAGUAAUCGCAGAUCAGCAACGCUGCGGUGAAUACGUUCCCGGG
rnacentral:rRNA from 1 species